CCCCCCGCCAAAAAUCAGAAUGGUCAACAGGCCUCCACGUUCAUUUCGCCGAAAAGGUAAAAUUAUCUUGUCAACGAGAAUUAGAUUAUACUAACCGAUACUAGAAUGUUCAAAAGCUUUACUAAAUCUAUGGUGUUUACUGCAUCAUGUUCAGGAUGAUCCUAAAAUUUCCACUUGAAAUUCAACGUCACUCCAAUUUAACCCACGUACAGCAAUACACCUCAAACUUCCAAAAUGAAGACCAAAGAAGUAUUUCUGAAAUUGACGGUACAGAAGGACAGCCUGAGAGCCAUGCAUCUUUAUAUAUUUAACCUCAACAUGUUACGCUUCGUCGAAGGCAUUCAGUCUCACACAAUGAAUUCAACCAUGCAAGUUUUAUAACGCAAGUCUUCAAAAUCAUUACUUUCAAAGAAAUAUUUGAAAAUAAUGAUCUGGAUCAGUUUAGUUGAUAAGAAAUAUGUAUCUGCCACAUAAAGCUGAUCAUCAUAAGAAGGAAAAAAGUUGAGUUGCACAGAAUUGAAGACACGAAGCCAUCCUAGAAACUGUUCUUACAAACAGCAUCGCAAAUUGGAUGCUCACAAACAUCAUUGCGCGAUAUCUAAUUGUCAUGCACUCAUCUUCGUUAUAUCUUUCAACAAGUUCAUUGAUAGUUUUUGACCUCAAAUUAUCAAUAUACGUAUUAGCUGGUUGAACAGGGCCAUAGCGACCGGGGCGGGAUAUUAAUUAGCGACUGAAAUGUUGUCGGCAUGCAUGUUUCGCAAAAUCAGGUAAAAACGUUAAGUUGGAUAAAUUCAGGUUAACGUAACCUCACAGCCAUUGGUGCAACAUGUUGGAUAAAAAUAAACUUGAGCGCAGGUGCACAACAAGUGCAGUGUUGAUGACCCCUAGCUUAGACUCUCUCACAGCGUGCAUGAAGAAACAUGCAUAAUUUCUAUAAUGUUAACGAGAUGGAAAAUAUUUUGAAGUUUUAUCUUAAUGAGUUUUAUAAGGAGUUUUUUUU
rnacentral:lncRNA from 1 species